UUCAGGUCCGUGGGGGGCGAGGAGAUUGGAGAUGCCUUUGUCUGGGCCUCUGGGGUACUUCGACUUCUCGUUUUGUCGGUAUUUUUCUUUCCUCUUCUCCAAGGGACCUUUUUCUUUCCUCUUCUCCAAGGGACCUUCCUGCACCGUGUGGUUCUGAUCGGACGGAGCUAGAUAUCGCUUUGCCUAUUGUGCAUGGGGGGAGGGGGACAUGAAAAAAUGGAUGUGCACCAUCCAAAAAUGUUAAGGCUUCUUUGGAACAAAGAAAAGAUGAAGAAAUUUUUGAAGAAUUUAAAUUAUAUAGAAAAUUUUCCUAUGUGACCCUUUGGAACAAAGGAUUGAGUUUCUAUAAAUCCUAUAAAAUUUCUAUGGAAUGGAUAAUUGUAGUGAGAUUUUGAAGGAUUUCUAACAUGAGAUCUAGGCCCCAUUGAGUUUGCGGGAAUUUUUUUAAUUCAUUGUGUUUUUCUUGUGAAAAUGAACUGAUUCUUGUGAAAUUUCUAUAUUGAUUUCUCUGAAAUUCCCGCAUUCCAAAUGAGGCCUAGCCUCUUGAAAAAUUUUCUAUGAAAUUGCAAGUGUCAUGCAACUCUAAUCCUACAUUUUUCAUAUCCUUAUAUUUUACCAAUCAUGUAUUCCAAAGGAGCCCUAGGUUUGGAGAUGUAUAGCCUUCUUUUUGCUACCAUGGGGACGUCUAGUUUGGUUCCCAACCGCAGCCCACCACACCUAACCUAAUAUGUGCCAUACCAUGCUAACCUAAUAAACUAAUCGGUUCGCUAAGUGAUUGGUUGCAUGUUCAUAAGAAUAAAUAUAGAAUAUUCAAUGUGUGAAACAGCUCAAAACUCAUGAAAAAAGGCAUAAUUCGAAAAGAAUUAAAUCUUGGGUUGAGUGUUUGGAUAAGUUCUAAAUGGCUCUAGGAACAUUUUGGAACACCUUAGGAUGAUUACAAUGAGCAGAUAUGCAAAAUGGUGUUCCAGGAGCUAAGUUUAAAUAAAUUGAGCAAAAGAGUUGAGAAGAUCAAAAUGAUGAAUACCUUUGACUUAGAGUAGUUGGAUGAACUAAUAAUUUUGUCUAAGUCGUAAAAGUGCUCAACAAUAUAGCCAAAUGCAAACAAGUGAAGAAUGUCCAAAAAAGGACUAAGCCUAGCUAUUCCGAGAGCACUAAACUAAAGUACCAGAGAGCUUGUUUUGGGCAUAGAGGCUUUGGCACGAUGGACCGAGUCUAGUGGUACACCAGACCAAAGUUCUAUUUGUUGACAGCAAUUUAAUGGUGCACUAGACCAACCGAUCGCCCCAAUGGUCGGAUGGUUCAAACCAACGGUCCGAUGAUGUGGCGUUGUGAUGUGGCGAGGUUCGGCGGGUCACCGGACGGUCUGUUGAGUACUAACAGCCUAACAACUUUCCAGUUUCCACAACGGCUACUAACAAAACAGGAAUGGUACUAUUUGAGGUCUGGUGCACACAUUUUAUGUGUAUAUUUGGGAGUGGAGUUCCAAUGGCUAUAUAGGGGUUUGGGGUCCUAUAUAUGUCCCCAACCAGUGUGUUAGACAUCCUAAUGUUAGGCAAACAAGUGCAUACACAAGAACAACACAUCCAAGUGAUCAAAGGGUCCCAAGUGCCACAAAAAGAGAUAGAGCACUUGUGUGAGCUAAAGUGUGGAGUUGUGUUGUGAAUUGUGAUCCUAAGCUUUGGAGCUAGAUUCCCAUUGAGAUUGUGUAAAGUGACUAAGAGCCUUCAAGUGCGUGGAGAGCCUUGAACUCAAUAAGAAAAGAGAAAUAGAACUCAGGUUUGAUCUCUGCGAUCACUUGAGUGUGGAAAGGGUUGAGAGAGACUUGGUCGUUAGUGGACUCCUCAACAGAGGCAUAGGUUCUUUCUAAAACUGAACUCUGGUAACAAAUCAUCGUGUGUUUAUUGAUUUGUGUUUGUCAUUUCACUUCCCCACUCCUCUCUGAGCUCUUAUUGUUUUCAUAUUAUUUCUAAGUCUAAAUUAUGCAAUCUUCUUUGCAACGAUAGCAAGUAUUGAACUCACUAAUUCCCAGUCUAACCAUCUUGUUCUAACACUUAAGAUUACUUAUAUCGGAUCAAGUUUUGGAUUGUUCUGAGUUAAAAUUCAGGUUUCGCCUAUUCACCCUCUCUAGGCAACUUUCAUAAUUGCUCAAAUUUGUAGCUCAUAGUGAUGCUUUCUUGUUCUCAUAAAUGGUUGGUGGCAUCAAUGUCUCGUGUUUAGGAUGUAGCUUAGAAUGAUGUGAUUAUUUUAAAUUCUCUAAACAAUACAAUUGUUUUAACAUGUUAGUAAUUUGUCUUAUGGUUGAUUUUGUAGGAUGGAGCAGUACGCGUUGUUGGAGGAGAGGUAUGAUGUGAAGCACCAGGUAGAGAGGACCAAGCAAGGAGAGGUAGGUUCUAUGUAACUAUUGCAAAUUCACAAUGCCCAUUUAAAUUUAGCAACAAUUAAUUUGCAAUACAUGUUCUUUGUUCACUUUGCAUAUUAUUUUGUUGAUAUAGGUGUGCAUGUACUAAGGUGAAUGAACCAUGACUUUCCUAUAGUAAUCUAAUGCAAUGAGCAGUACACGCCCCUCCUAAAGCGUGUCUGCGUGUGAAGCCAGUUGUCUGUGUUUGUCGUUGGGGGUGCCACCGUUCAACCCAGUAGUUUUGAUAAAUGAUGAUUGAUAUGUGGUGUCCUAUGACACACUCCUUCCACCUAUCGUACAGUGAGAUGACAAUCACUCUUGAGGAUGUAGCCAUGAAUCUUAGGGUUUCAAUUCGACGCAACAUAGUGAGAGAUAAUAUGGAGUUAGUAAGGUGGGAGGGAUGUGUGGAUCAUUUCUUAGGACAUCCUUUUCUAGAUGUUGAGGUGGCCAAGAAGUGGUACACGAGUGGUGGCAUCUUGAGGUGGCUUAAUGAGUAGUUUGAAGAGUGCCCACUGGACGCAUACCAAGUAGUCGUCAACUACUAUAUAGUGCUUGAGCGCUUCAUAUGUUUAGUACGACCCUCUUCUUGAAUGGCACGAGGAUACAACCUCGUGGAUGUACACCAUAUGCUUGUGGAGUUGGGAUGAUGUCAAGAACCUAAGGCAAGAUGGGGAUCCACAAUGUUUUCCUUCAUUUAUUGUCAGCUCCGUGAGGCUUGUCGAUGGCCUAGAGGUGCCUAGUCCACUCAGCUGGGAUGCACAACUAUUUUUUUAGAUAUUACAUCUUUCACAUGAGGAGGCAAUAUGUAUUACUAUAUCCUUUGACAUCUAGAUGUAAUGUAAAUUCACUAACAGUUGCAUCUUUGUAGAUUUGGAUGUGACAUUGACUACUAGUUUGUAGGACACACACAUUGGCCCCACCUAAUGCUUGGUUCCUAGAAGGAAACCCCACGGUACCCCCUACCAUGGCACACAAUAUGAGCGUGCCUCGGGUACGUACCACAUCUCUCAUUAGGAAUACAUUAGCUACACCAAUGAGUUUGACAUCCUUCAACCUCAACAUGUAAGAACAAGCUUUAAGUUUGAGAUUUUGGGGCCGCUAGCACUCACCAUGUACAACUUCAAUUAGUGUAUACCACUAACAUUGUUGAUGCUUCUUUUAUGCAGGUUUAGUGGUAUGCUUAUAACUAUGACAACAUUCUACCCAUAAACUUGAGCUUAAUGUGUCAUGCAAACAAGAACAUGUGGAUGAUGAGGCGCCUUCUGAUUUUAUUCUAUGAUGUCAAGUACCAUCUCCCUCAAUAGGAGGCACAUCGAUCUAGAAAAGAGCAAGCAUACCUUCUCGAACACUUACCCAGUAGUUAGGAUUUACACUAGUGAGUAUUUUUUGUUGAUAAAACCGACCGCACCACCACCAAUUUCAAAGUUUUUUAAAAGAAGUUUUCAAUUGGUAUCUUAUGAUGAAAAUAUUUAGUAGACGUAUUUCAAAUUGGUAUCUAAAAUAUUUGAUCUUCUUUCAAUUGAUAAAAACCCUCUUGAACACUAAGAGGAGAAUUUCAGCCAGGGGGAGUUUUGUUUAAGUCAAAGGAAAAACAUUUGAAACAGGGGGAGAAAAUUUCAAAUCUUAAAAAUGCUUCUUGCAAUCUUAUUCAUAUACCUUUGACUAUUUGCAAAAGGACUUUGAAAAGAUUUUCCAAAAGAAUUUGCAAAAACAAAACAAGUGGUGCAAGCGUGGUCCAAAAUGUUAAAUAUCAAAUCAAACUUACAUACUUAGAAAUGGUUUCAUUUCAAAAUAACUUAUGCACAUCUGUCAAAAUACAAACUAGCUACAUUUCUACACUUUAUAUUUGCUUUGAUUUGUGUUGGCAUCAAUCACCAAAAAGGGAGACAUUGAAAGGGAAAUAGUCUCAACAUUUCCUAUAAUUGAUUUUGGUGUUUGACGACCAUCACAAACCUUGUGGACUAACCAGUUUGUCUAGUUGAUCAUUCCACAAGUGCAUAAGUUCAUCUACAACUAUUCUAAAGUCGACUAUCCAGAAUACCGUAGAUUAUUCCGGACAGGAGAAGCUUUUUGGAAAAUCACCUA
rnacentral:lncRNA from 1 species